GGACGGGUGAGUAACACGUGGGUAACCUGCCUGUAAGACUGGGAUAACUCCGGGAAACCGGGGCUAAUACCGGAUGCUUGAUUGAACCGCAUGGUUCAAUUAUAAAAGGUGGCUUCGGCUACCCCUUACCGAAGGGCCCCCCGCCCAAUAACUUGUUGGGGGAGGAACCGGUCCCCCAGGGCACCAUUCCUAACCCAACUGAAAGGGGGGUCCGCCCCCCUGGGACUGAAACCCCGCCCCAAAUCCUACCGGAGGGAACAGUUGGGAAUCUUCCCCAAUGGAAGAAAGUUUGAACGAACCACCCCCCGUGAGUGAAGAAAGGUUUCCGAAUCUAAAACUUUGUUGGUAGGGAAAAACAAGUUCCGUUUCAAUUAGGGGGUACAGUGACGGAACCCUAAACCAAAAAGCCAACGGUAACUUCCAGCACACCAGCCGCGUGUAAUACCGUAAGUGGCAAGCGUUGUCACGAAUUAUGUGGGCAGUAAAGCGCCCGCCAGCCGUUUACUUAAAUCUUGAUGUGAAAGCCCCCCGGCUCAACCCGGGAAGGGUCAUUGAGAAACUGGGGAACUUGAAUGCAGAAGAAGAGAAUGGAAUUCCACCUGGAACCGUGAAAUGCCUAGAGAUGUGGAAGAACACACAGUGGCCGAAGGCGACUCUCUGGUCUGUAACCGACCGCUGAAGCCCGAAAGCGUGGGGGAACGAACAGGAUUAGAUAUCCCUGGCUAAUCCACGCCGUAAACGAUGAGUGCUAAGUGUUAGAAGGUUUCCGCCCUUUAGUGCUGCAGCAAACGCAUUAAGCACUCCGCCUGGCGAGUACGGUCGCAAGACUGAAACUCAAAGGAAUUGACCGCGGCCCGCACAAGCGGUGGAGCAUGCGGUUUAAUUCGAAGCAACGCGAAGAACCUUACCAGGUCUUGACAUCCUCUGACAACCCUAGAGAUAGGGCUUCCCCUUCAGGGGCAGACGUUGACAGGUGGCUACAUCGAUCUGUCGUCAGCUCGUGUCGUGAGAUGUUGGGUUAAGUCCCGCAACGAGCGCAACCCUUGAUCUUAGUUGCCAGCAUUCAGUUGGGCACUCUAAGGUGACUGCCGGUGACAAACCGGAGGAAGGUGGGGAUGACGUCAAAUCAUCAUGCCCCUUAUGACCUGGGCUACACACGUGCUACAAUGGGCAGAACAAAGGGCAGCGAAGCCGCGAGGCUAAGCCAAUCCCACAAAUCUGUUCUCAGUUCGGAUCGCAGUUUGCAACUCGACUGCGUGAAGCUGGAAUCGCUAGUAAUCGCGGAUCAGCAUGCCGCGGUGAAUAUUUUCUUGGGCCUUGUACACACCGCU
rnacentral:rRNA from 2 species